AAAAUGUGUUAAUAUCAAUAUUAGAUAUAAAAGUUUGAAAAAUGACUAGAAUGUUUUGAGAGAGAUACAAAACCAAAGAAAUUCUAGUGGAAGCUUUAUGUCAUUACUAAAUGAUCCCGAAGAAAUAAGUUUACCUUCAUCAUCUCAAAGUUUUUGCCACCCCCUCACAUUGCUCACAUCAAAAAUUCUACUCAUACCAUCACACAAAUCACACAGCCAAUUGAAUACAGAUUGAACUCCAUUGAAAACCUACUUAAAGAUUUAGAAAAAUCUGUAACUUCUACAAGAAAAGAAAUUGGUCAUACUGAUGAAGAUUUAUUUAAGAAAGCGAGUAAUGUAGAAGAGUUAGAUGUCAUAUUGUUGCAAUGUCAGGAUGAUGAAAUGGUUUUACUGUUAAUUAACUGGCUAGUAAUAGCAAAUGGAGAAUACUUAUUGGACAUAUUACGAAACAUUUUGAAUGUCUUCAUGACAUUACAGAUGAAUUGUUGUUGCUCUGGGAAACAUUAUGUCACCAUAAUGACUUUUUUAUAUAAGUUUUUUUUCACACCGUGUCCACGUUAAAAUUUCCUGUAAAAGUAUUGUGUGGCUUUCGUUCUUUUUUAGUGUGGUUGUGAACGAUAAAAGCAUUAUAAUCAAACAUGGGCCGCACCAACAUGAUCAACAUAAAAAGAAGUCUUAUAUAUAGGGCUAACAUAUACUUCCCACUCGUGGGCCACAUGAAACUCACGCACAAAUAAAGUGUGGUGUGCGCUCUUA